CGGGUGAGUAACACGUAUGCAACCUGCCUGCCACAGCCGGAUAAUCGGGAGAAAUCCCGUCUAAUACGGCAUAAUGCAUCGACGGGACAUCCUGUUGGUGCCAAAGGUUGAUUCCGGUGGCGGAUGGGCAUGCGUCGCAUUAGUUAGUUGGCGGUGUAACGGACCACCAAGACGACGAUGCGUAGGGGUUCUGAGAGGAAGGUCCCCCACACUGGUACUGAGACACGGACCAGACUCCUACGGGAGGCAGCAG
rnacentral:rRNA from 1 species